AUUGAACGCUGGCGGCAUGCUUUACACAUGCAAGUCGAACGGCAGCGCGGGCUUCGGCCUGGCGGCGAGUGGCGAACGGGUGAGUAAUGCAUCGGAACGUGCCCAGUAGUGGGGGAUAGCCCGGCGAAAGCCGGAUUAAUACCGCAUACGACCUGAGGGUGAAAGCGGGGGACCGAAAGGCCUCGCGCUAUUGGAGCGGCCGAUGUCGGAUUAGCUAGUUGGUGGGGUAAAGGCUUACCAAGGCGACGAUCCGUAGCUGGUCUGACAGGACGACCAGCCACACUGGGACUGAGACACGGCCCAGACUCCUACGGGAGGCAGCAGUGGGGAAUUUUGGACAAUGGGGGCAACCCUGAUCCAGCCAUGCCGCGUGCGGGAAGAAGGCCUUCGGGUUGUAAACCGCUUUUGUUCGGGAAGAAAUCCUCUGGGCUAAUACCCCGGGGGGAUGACGGUACCGGAAGAAUAAGCACCGGCUAACUACGUG
rnacentral:rRNA from 1 species